rnacentral:rRNA from 1 species
CCUACGGGAGACAGCAGUGAGGAAUAUUGGUCAAUGGCCGCAGGGCUGAACCAGCCAAGUCGCGUGAGGGAUGACGGUCCUAUGGAUUGUAAACCUCUUUUGUCAGGGAGCAAAGGGCGCCACGUGUGGCGCUUUGCGAGUACCUGAAGAAAAAGCAUCGGCUAACUCCGUGCCAGCAGCCGCGGUAAUACGGAGGAUGCGAGCGUUAUCCGGAUUUAUUGGGUUUAAAGGGUGCGCAGGCGGAAUGUCAAGUCAGCGGUAAAAUUUCGGGGCUCAACCCCGUCGUGCCGUUGAAACUGGCGUUCUUGAGUGAGCGAGAAGUAUGCGGAAUGCGUGGUGUAGCGGUGAAAUGCAUAGAUAUUGCGCAGAACUCCGAUUGCGAAGGCAGCAUACCGGCGGCGAUCUGACGCUGAGGCACGAAAGCGUGGGUAUCGAACAGGAUUAGAUACCCGGGUAGUC